rnacentral:tRNA from 1 species
GGUGAGAUAAUUUAAAAAAAAUUUUAUCCUGCAAAGAUAAAUUUAACCUUAGGGGUUUCUCGCUU